UUAAUAACUAAUUUUUAAAUGAUUCAUAUUAUGGAUAGUUUAAGUCAGAUUUAAAGUAUUUAAAUGGCAUUUGGAUGUGAUGCACAUAAAGAUGAGAAUUUUGUUAGAGGAACACAGUGUUUCGGAUUAUAUUCUUACUUCUCAUCAGGUGAAUGAUGAAGGGGUAAGACAAUAUUCCGAAACACUGUGUUCCUCUAAAUAAAGAAGUUGACAUCCAUAACUUCUCAUCUUUAGAUUUAACUUCAUGAAGACAAAUAUCUUGUUGAGGGACACUGAAGUUCACUGUUUGGGGCUCACUAAGCUGUCUCCCUUGCAGAUGCUGAAAUAUCCAUAUCCUAAGCAAGUCUAUAAUUGAUGCUUUGGCAAGUCUAGAUUUCUCACUUGAAAAUGAAUUCAGCCUCUUGUUUAUUUUAUUUUCAUAUAUUAAGAGACAUUUGAAAAAUAUUAAUGAGAAAUAUAAAACAUGUCCAAUAUUACAAAACAUUACAAAGAAAAAUUAGCCAAGGUAGUAAUGUUCACUCCAAUCGGUCCUUGUAGAUUGUGUAAUUAAGGUGUAGGUAUUUGUUGUUUUAGCAUUGUUGUGUAAAAACAGAUGCACUAUAGUCAUAUAAAGAAACUAAAAAUUCUUUGCCUUUGUUUAAGAAUAAAUUUUAAGAAUUGAACUUAACUAAUCCUAAUAUUUCUUUCAUCUUACAAACUCACUGUUAGUCUACAUAUUCAUAGACAUGUUCCCUCUUAGCACCAUAAUGAAUCAGUUAUGAUAUAAAUAAAAUAUGGUUUAUAUUUCAAAUAAUUAUACUUACUAACUUGUAUCAAAACCAGAUUUGUACAUGAAAAAUAAUUAACAGAGACAAAUUUGCAUCAUAAAAGUCAAUCCAGCGUAACCAUGGUUGGGUCAUGUUUGGGUUGACCUUGACAGGAAUGACAACCAUCCAGUCCAACUAUCUACAGGAAAUCAGAUCAAAUUCCACUUCAGUAUCAUGACCCUUGUGAUAAUCUGUUUACGAAAUUUGAUAUAAGAAUGUUUCUUGUUUAUUGGCUGUGUGCUACACUUGCUGUCAUCUGAUAGGACCAUCUUAGUAAAGAUUAUCUGAGCCCCUCCAUACAUCAACAAUAGUCAAGCCCCUUAGACCAUGCAUAAUCAUGCGCCUUGCAACAUGUAAUGAUGAUGAACACUAUGAUUUAGAAGUAUGAAACUAUUAGUUCAGGGUUUUGUUAAAUGGUUAUUGCCAUGUAUAUAAUUUUGAGUUCUGUAGAAUUUAAAAAACCCAAUUUGUUUAAAAGGCCCCAGUGGAUUCUGCCACCAUUGGGUUGAUUGAAAAUCAUAGUUAAUGGUUAAGAUGUAUAAAAUUUGAAUGCAUUGAAGUAUUUAUUGUAUUUUCAAUACUGAGUUGAUUUUAUUUGAUUUUAAAUAUUUUACUGAAAAACCACACUUUAGGUAAGUUUUGCCUACAUUCUUCUGACAAGGUGAUGUGACAGGGUGCAUGUGAAUUCAUCCAUUGUCUUAAGACGUCAUCAGAACGACUGAAAAUAUAAACAUAUCUGCCAUUGGUAAUAAAUUAAAAUUUGGGACCUAUACACUCAAUGACAACCACAUAAAAUUCAUCUCCUUAAUAAAUAUGUAAAUGAGUAAAUAAACAUAAUUAUUUCAUAUGCGUGUUAAAUAUAGCAGCUACGAUUCGUCUCAAAUGUGAUAUAUCAAGUCUGACAAAUUCUAACAUUUACUGCUGUUGGGUAUUAGAAUUUAGUGUACCUUCCGGCACUGAACAAUAAAAUUAUGAUAGUUUACUCCUCAAGAUUGACUCUAAUUUUACAACACACCUAAGACACUGACACCUUUGUUCACUGAGAGGGCUAAAGGUCACAUGUAGGGUAGUGAAGACACGCCCAUAUUAGACAGAAUGAGUGAUUAUGAACUGAGCCCAUGUGGCCUUCAACAACUGAUAUUUGACCUGAUAACUCCUGAACUUGAGACGGGUGACACAAGUGUUGUCAUGAUUUACUCGUGGGCUUUCAAGGACAGAAUAGGUAUGCUUGUCACAUUGGUCAAUUUACGUAAGAAUGUGAUAGUUACCCUGUGGGAUUCAGGGACAUCAUAGGUCCUCAGCUGGGAUAGUUACAACCCAGUGGAGAAUCAGGGUCAGAAUAGGUCCUCAGCUGGGAUAGUUACAACCCAGUGGAGAAUCAGGGUCAGAAUAGGUCCUCAGCUGGGAUAGUUACAACCCAGUGGAGAAUCAGGGUCAGAAUAGGUCCCAAGAUGGGAUAGUUACAACCCAGUGGAGAAUCAGGGUCAGAAUAGGUCCCAAGAUGGGAUAGUUACAACCCAUGGAGAAUCAGGGUCAGAAUAGGUCCCAAGAUGGGAUAGUUAACCCAUGGAGAAUCAGGGUCAGAAUAGGUCCCAAGAUGGGAUAGUUACAACCCAGUGGAGAAUCAGGGUCAGAAUAGGUCCCAAGAUGGGAUAGUUACAACCCAGUGGAGAAUCAGGGUCAGAAUAGGUCCUCAAGAUGGGAUAGUUACAACCCAGUGGAGAAUCAGGGUCAGAAUAGGUCCCAAGAUGGGAUAGUUACAACCCAGUGGAGAAUCAGGGUCAGAAUAGGUCCCAAGAUGGGAUAGUUACAACCCAGUGGAGAAUCAGGGUCAGAAUAGGUCCCAAGAUGGGAUAGUUACCCCAUGGA